GCAUACUGACUUUCUCUGGAGGAGAGACAAGAGACACGCAGAGUCAACAAGAGGGCAGCGGUAGAGAUGUUUUGAUAGUUUUAUCGAUUAAAACCCUGGAUCAGCAUCGGCCCAACACGGGGACAGAGACAAAGCAUAAGCUCUGGUAUUUCCCACCUGUCAUCACAAACAUGAGUGUUUCUGUGCUGGAAGGAUGUGCCUUAAUCACUUUUAGUGUCUAUUGGAGAGUAGUGUUCCAGACGAACCAAGCUCAAACAAGUUACAUACCUCUAAACUUCAUAAAUGACAACAUUUUGUGUACAAAAAAGAUAUGAAAAAUAAGGCUAGAGGAAAACAAAUAAGUAGAAUUAGCCUUUAAUGAACUUUUACAGUGCUUUGGUUGGACAGAGGGUGUGAAAAAGAGGAAGGGGAAUGCACAGACUGAUGGAUAUUUAGCACCUGAUUAGCAGUAGUGAGGACAAAGUAGCCAGGCCAUCUGCUUUACAUUUUCUCCUUUGGCCAUGAAUGCCAAGGACAGAGAGUCUUCACGGUAGAUACCCAGCCUGCCAGUUGUUUAUACACAGCAGCAGAACUACCACCAAAAUACUAUGUGAUUAUCAUCAGCGACUGGAGUCAGUCAGUUUCAGUGUGAUUGAAGUAGUGAAAGUCUUCCCAAUAUUAAUUUGGUUGGAAAGCGCUGUGUGGUUUUUGUAAUGCCUUUUUGAGCAGAUGUUAUGUUGUUUACACAGUAGAUUUGUUGUGAUAUACAGUGCACACUAUAUUAUGCACUAUAUUGGACUGUAAAUACACACCAUUCCCAACAUACAGUAUGUAUGCUGUGACAUGUGGUUUUCAUGUUGAUUGCCUUUAGCCACAUUUUUCACUCUCGGUUUAUUUACCGUAAUUUCUUGUUCUCAUCGAGGGACUGAGACUGGCAGGUAUUACUUUUCAUUUAAUCAUGUUAAAAGCUGUAUGUGUGACACUCUUUGGGACUGAGAAAGAUUAAACUUCAAUGAUUUUUUUUCCAAUCGCACACUUUUCUGAUUUGAUUUGUUUGGAAAUAAUAUCUUAUUCAACUUUCUAAAGUAAUAAUUACCACAGACAAUAAGAUGCAAAAAUUAUCAUGAAGGAAGGAACAAACCUCAAAUAAAUAAAUAAAUGGAAAGAAAAAAAUACCAGCUAAUGCCCCUCUCUUUACACUAAACUCUGACACACAAUAAUGUAUAAUAUUCACCUGAAUUCACCUGAACCUUGGCAACUUUAAAGCAAUAGUUCAAAAUUUUGGGAAAUACAUUUAUUAACUUUCUUGCUAAUAGUUAGAUGAGAGGUUAGCUUAGCUUGGCAAAAAGAAAGGUAUAACAGCUAGCAUGGCUCUGUCCGAAGUUAGCUGUUAAAUAAACAAGAUAUAACAUGUCAAUAUGUAAGCGUUAGCGCUGCUUGUAGGUGGGUUUUGUUAACUUUGAACUGAGUCAAGUUAACUGUUUUGCCCCCUGUUGACAGUCUUUGUUUUAAGCUAAACUAAAGGGCUGUUGGCUGUAGGCUUAUAUUUAAUGGAGAGAGAGAUAAGAGUGAUAUCCAUCUUCUCGUUUUUUAAAUACUCUUUAUUACAGCAACAGUAGAAACAUGCCAGGAAAACAAGGGGAGAGAGAGAAGGGGAACGACAUACAACAAAGUUCAGCAAUCAAACCACGGACGUUGUGAUUAAGUCAAGUGGGAAAUGAUCAAAUCAAGGUGGAAAGAGUGGAGUUUGUAUCAAAAAAUAACGCUAGCCUACACAAAUGGAUAAAGGUCCCAAAAAGCGAAAAAGGUGAGAGAGAAAAAGAAAAAACAAUCUUGUGGCUGAUGCUACGAAAUGUUUUAAGUUAACAGAUUUAUUCAAAAUAUACACUGCCACGCAAAAUCCUGCUAGCAUUAGCAUGCAUAGCUGCAGUGAUAACAUUAACAGUCCACCACCAAAUGAAGAGGAGGAAAAAGUCUGGACAGAUGAGCAGGCUGCUUCCAGUGGAGAGCAGGGGCAAGAGGAGGAAACCGCUGCCAAGGACGAGUGAAACUUGUUAGCUAACGUUAGCUCAUGUAGUGACAGUGUUCACGACGGAGCUCUGGACCUGACCCUCUCCAUUACGCACAUGGCAUGCGAGCACAACUUCUUUACUUUAAAAUUCAUCAAGAAUAGACUAUGGAGCACUACAUGUUGAAGUACAUGCUUAUAGCUACAGAAAAAUACAUUCUUAUGGCUUUGGACACUGAUGGAAUAAUCAACAGGAUGGCAUAGAGGAGCGCACUGAUGAGAUGUCUUCUCACUGCAUAAGAUGGACACAGAGUACACUCUUAUGCACCUGAGAGGCGACUUGCCACGGUUGAGUGUCAUUGAGGAACCUGCUCAGAGUGUGUGACGGCAGUGGAUUGUCAGAGACCCACCAGACGGUGCGAUGGUACAGCAGGGCUUAUGAUCACACCAAGGCUCUGACUUGUCGACCAUACCGCCGCCUAACACCGUUCACAUCUCCUCAAGCACUCACCUCUAAGAGCCGCACUUGCUUUCAAUGCAGAUCCAUACGGUGUUUAGGAUCGGAGGGAGGAGAGCGCUCCAUCAUAGCCUGUACUGUAAGUGCUUUGAGGCAUUUUGCUUUGUUUAAUGCACAUGAUCCUGCUUUUCAAAUUUUAUCUUUGGUUCUUAGCAUUUGUGUUUUGUUAGCAUGUCUGGCUAACUAGAUUACAAUCUACGGUAAUAACUGAGAUUUACUUCCAAGGCCUUAAGGGGCACAUCAUUAACUGACUACAUCACUUUGUGGAGUUACGGGUUAUGUAAAAACAUUUUCCGGGGAGAUUCAGCUUUAGCCAUGCCAUUUGGCCUUUUAGCGUUAUACUGUAUAAUGUACAAGAUACUUGUUUUAAAACGAGUCAUCUGGAAAAGUCAGCCAGUUACUGCGUUUUCAACCAACUCAUGGAGCUAACGUUAGCUUAAUUAGCAAGCUACAACUUGCAACCAGCAACAGUCAUUUCAACUAGCAAGAAAUGUCUGCUAGAAAUGUCUACCUCUGUCUAAAACUAAGGACCCAGUGUUUCAGAAAUUACUAAGAAUUUUGGUGUCAUAUGGCAUAUCAUUGUGAACUGCAUAUGAGCCAUGCAAGGACAAUCAGAAAUUUGACAGGCCUCGCAACAGUAACUAUGGGUAAUGUGGCUUUGUGAACGGUCAAUUCCCUGAAUUUAUUUGACAUACACUGUGGCCAGCAUUGUAGUCUUUUGACAUUUGUUUUUCUGUAGGUUGUGUUCAUUUCUGUCCUGUUCAGCCAUAAUGGCUAUCACUGUUCAUGCUAGAACCUCAGUUUUGUUUAUUCCCCCCCAAAAUGCUGUUGAAACUUGUAGAAAAAUUUAAUUUAUCAUCUCAGAGAGUGUUUGUACCAGUAACGACCCAUGUAGUAGACACAUAGCAGGAGUUUUAAUUAGCUCUAUGAACCUGCUGUAAUAUGAAUCACUGUUGUGUUAAAUACGUUUUAGAAAUGAAGAAGGUUAUGGAUAAAUACAAUUUUAUUAAUGAGAAAAGUCAACAUCAACUGACCAGUGUCCAUGUGGUCACUGCCUUUGCCCCGUGUUAUUGCCUCUUCCUGUCUAUCUGUGCCUUUGCCUCCCUCUGUCUGCCUCCACCCCGGGUGCCUGUGUCUGUAAGCCUCUCUACCUGGCUGCCUGUCGCCCUGCCUGUCAGACCGACUAUCUACCUAUCAAUCUGUGAGUAUGUCCGCCUGCGUGUGGCGAUAAGGAGCCGUGGGUGUCUGUAGCCCUGACACCAGCUGAUUUAUGCCGGCCUCUUUCCCUUUAGGGGGCCGAUUUGUGAGAAAAUCCCCAACGACUCAUGCUGACUUUGUGUGCGCGAGUGUGUAUCUGUUUGUCAGGCUGUUUGCAUGUGCGUGUGUGUGCUGUGCCAGGAUCGUCUGUCAAAACAAAGAUGACAGGGAGCUGUAACUCUUUUAUUGCCAUAUUUCAGCUUCUGUACAUCACUCAAACCUGAUUUAAUAUUUGAAUUCCCUUUUUUUAAACAACAUGAAAAGUAUUCAUUUACAGAAGCAUGUCUGAGUCUCUCCCACAAACCAGAUGGGUGAAAUCAAUAUGCAAUAAAAGAUAAAUGAGUAAAACACAACGUAUUGCUAACUCAACUUAAAAGUUGAUGACUUCCACUACUAAAAGAAGGCUGCUAUUUGAUUUAAGUUAAAAAUGUAUGUGUUUUUUUGUAUUAAAUCAAUUUAAAUGAUUCUGGCCAAGCUGUGCUCAUUUGCUACAAAUCAAGAAAGCUUUCAUUGUUAAUCCCCAACAUUCUACACACAAAUAAACCUGAACAUACAUGUCAACGUUCCCAUUUCGCUUGUGAGCUGGAGGUCAAAGCCAAGCUAAUGUCAUAUCCUUAGAAAGUAACUCAACACUAAAUCCACUUUUUUGAGUUAGUAAAAUAUGUGUAUUGUCACUUUAUUACAUGGUCAAUUGAUCCUGGUCCUGGUUAAUUUUCUUUUUGUAGAGAAAAUCCAGUAAUUCUGUCUUCUAGAGCAACCAAGAAUCUAUGAUGUUCCCUGGUUCAAUUCACCCUCAAACUACAAAGCAAUG